rnacentral:miRNA from 17 species
AGUGUGAUAACACUUAGAAGGG